rnacentral:rRNA from 1 species
CCGGCGCACGGUGAGUAACGCGUAUGCAACUUACCUAUCAGAGGGGGAUAACCCGGCGAAAGUCGGACUAAUACCGCAUGAAGCAGGGGUCCCGCAUGGGGAUAUUUGCUAAAGAUUCAUCGCUGAUAGAUAGGCAUGCGUUCCAUUAGGCAGUUGGCGGGGUAACGGCCCACCAAACCGACGAUGGAUAGGGGUUCUGAGAGGAAGGUCCCCCACAUUGGUACUGAGACACGGACCAA